rnacentral:rRNA from 1 species
AGAGUUUGAUUAUGGCUCAGGAUGAACGCUGGCGGCGUGCCUAACACAUGCAAGUCGAGCGAUUUCUUAGGAGAAGAGCGGCGGACGGGUGAGUAACGCGUGGGUAACCUGCCUCAUACACAUGGAUAACAUACCGAAAGGUAUGCUAAUACAGGAUAACAUAAGAGAUUCACAUGGAUUUCUUAUCAAAGCUCCGGCGGUAUGAGAUGGACCCGCGUCUGAUUAGCUAGUUGGUAAGGUAACGGCUUACCAAGGCGACGAUCAGUAGCCGGACCUGAGAGGGUGAUCCGGCCACAUUGGAACUGAGACACGGUCCAAACUCCUACGGGAGGCAGCAGUGGGGAAUAUUGCACAAUGGGCGAAAGCCUGAUGCAGCAACGCCGCGUGAGUGAUGAAGGCCUUCGGGUCGUAAAACUUCCUGUCCUCAAGGAAGAUAAUGACGGUACUUGAGGAGGAAGCCCCGGCUAACUACGUGCCAGCCGCUGC